AUUGAACGCUGGCGGCAUGCUUUACACAUGCAAGUCGAACGGUAACAGGGAGCUUGCUCCGCUGACGAGUGGCGAACGGGUGAGUAAUGCAUCGGAACGUACCCAGUCGUGGGGGGAUAACGUAGCGAAAGUUACGCUAAUACCGCAUACGUCCUGAGGGAGAAAGCGGGGGACCGUAAGGCCUCGCGCGAUUGGAGCGGCCGAUGUCGGAUUAGCUAGUUGGUAGGGUAAAGGCCUACCAAGGCGACGAUCCGUAGCGGGUCUGAGAGGAUGAUCCGCCACACUGGGACUGAGACACGGCCCAGACUCCUACGGGAGGCAGCAGUGGGGAAUUUUGGACAGUGGGGGGCAACCCUGAUCCAGCCAUGCCGCGUGAGUGAAGAAGGCCUCGGGUUGUAAAGCUCUUCGGUCCGGGAACGAAAGUACGCAUCAGCUAAUACCUGGUGUGGAUGACGGUACCGGAAUAAGAAG
rnacentral:rRNA from 1 species